rnacentral:rRNA from 1 species
UACAGAGGUCUCAAGCGUUGUUCGGAUUCAUUGGGCGUAAAGGGUGUGUAGGUGGCGCCGUAAGUCGGGUGUGAAAUUUCGGAGCUUAACUCCGAAACUGCAUUCGAUACUGCGGUGCUUGAGGACUGGAGAGGAGACUGGAAUUCAUGGUGUAGCAGUGAAAUGCGCAGAUAUCAGGAGGAACACCGGUGGCGAAGGCGGGUCGCUGGGCCGUAACUGACGCUGAGGAGCGAAAGCGUGGGGAGCGAACAGG